rnacentral:pre_miRNA from 1 species
UAUGUACUCCCUCCGUUCGGAAUUACUUGUCGCAAAAAUGGAUGUAUCUAGACGUAUUUUAGUUCUAGAUACAUCCAUUUCCGAGACAAGUAAAUCCGAACGGAGGGAGUAGGUA